UACGUAGGGUGCGAGCGUUGCCCGGAUUUAUUGGGCGUAAAGGGCGCGUAGGCGGCCACGCACGUCCGUUGUGAAAUCGCCCGGCUCAACUGGGCGGGGUCAGCGGAUACGGUGUGGCUCGAGCAAGCUAGGGGGCAAUGGAAUUCCCGGUGUAGUGGUGGAAUGCGUAGAUAUCGGGAGGAACACCAGUGGCGAAGGCGGUUGCCUGGAGCUUUGCUGACGCUGAGGCGCGAAAGCGUGGGGAGGCGAGUCGGCG
rnacentral:rRNA from 1 species